rnacentral:rRNA from 1 species
GCGGGUUUAACUGUCACGGACACGUAUCUGUCCCUUAAGUUUUGUUGGCCAAGUUCGGCCCAUAACAAAAUAACACUGGGACUUCGCAAGAUAAAUCAAAGAAUGACGGGACCGCACAAGCGUGGAGCAUUGUUAUUCGAGCACGCGAAGACUACCAGUCUGACAUCUGAUGACACUCAGGUAAUGCUGAUUCUCGGACAUCAAGACAGGUGGUGCAUGGUGUCGUCAGCUCGUGUCGUGAGAUGUUGGGUUAAGUCCCGCAACGAGCGCAACCCUUGCCUUUAGUAGCCAGCAGUAAGAUGGGAACUCUAGAGGGACUGCCAGGGAUAACCUGGAGGAAGGUGGGGAUGACGUCAAAUCAUCAUGCCCCUUAUGACUUGGGCUACACACGUGCUACAAUGGCGUAAACAAAGGGACGCGAGUGGGCGACCAUGAGCAAACCCCAAAAAUAACGUCUCAGUUCGGACUGUAGUCUGCAGCUCGACUACACGAAGCUGGAAUCGCUAGUAAUCGCGGAUCAGAAUGCCGCGGUGAAUACGUUCCCGGGUCUUGUACACACCGCCCGUCACACCAUGGGAGUAGGUAAUACCCGAAGUCCGUGACUUAACCGUAAGGAGAGAGCGGCCGAAGGUAGGACUUAUAACUGGGGUGAAGUCGUAACAAGGUAGCCGUAGGAGAACCUGC